GAAAUGCGAUAAUUAAUGUGAAUUGCAGAAUUCAGUGAAUCAUCGAGUCUUUGAACGCACAUUGCGCCCCCUGGUAUUCCGGGGGGCAUGCCUGUCCGAGCGUCAUUGCUGCCCUCAAGCACUGCUUGUGUGUUGGGCUUCCGUCCCUGGCAACGGGGACGGGCCCAAAAGGCAGUGGCGGCACCAUGUCUGGUCCUCGAGCGUAUGGGGCUUUGUCACCCGCUCCCGUAGGUCCAGCUGGCAGCUAGCCUCGCAACCAAUCUUUUUAACCAGGUUGACCUCGGAUCAGGUAGGGAUACCCGCUGAACUUAAGC
rnacentral:misc_RNA from 1 species